rnacentral:lncRNA from 1 species
GCGGGUCUCCCCUUUUGUCCCCACUUGGGGUUAGAGGCCUUCGCAGUGGCUUCACUUGGACGCCAGGGGCCCAGCCUCCAACCCAGCUCUCUGUGGGUUGGAGGUGUGUUUUGGAAGGGGGUGGGCUGGGGCUUGGGAAAGCCGAUUGGGGCCUCCCCUUCGGGAUCCCCCCCAGCCCCCCGCCGCGAUAGUGCCCGAGGGUAAAGCCUUAGAUCCUGGCCUUCCUGGGGGAGGGGAUGUGGACAGGGCGGGUCUUUGGAAAUGCAGAUGAGUCGUCUCCCGCUGCUGGUCUCCUGGGUUGAACUUUAGUGACUCAGCCACCCUCACCCCACCCCCACCCAUUCCACAGUGAGGGCCGCCUUGUCAGCUGGGAAAGGGGGGGGGGGGACACAGCAUUUCUGUGACUCCCUUUCUAUCUAGUAGACCCUGUUGGUAUUGCAUUUGGCCAAUCCAUUCUCUCUGAACCUACAAACUGUGGAAUUGCCCUAACAGAACGUCCGAAUUUACAGGUCUUGGCCGGAGACCGGAGCCAUGUCUGUGUUAUCCCCACUGUAGACAAUCCUUGCUUCCUCUGGACAUCUGGAGCAGGCCCAAUUUGACUGAGAGCCUUCCCCCACUAAGUUACAGAUCCAGCCCCACCAUCACCACCAGAGUUGAGUCCAAAUCCAACACUCUAGGCCGGGUAGUGCUGGGACUUUGCCAGCCUCCUGCUGAGAAGUGAAUUCUCCCCUUGGCAAACUGCAGCCAGCCAGCCUCCUGGGUCGAGAGCCAAGCCAAAAGAUGUCUGAGAGAAGAAACCUGGGGUCCUGCAAAGGUAAGUGGGUCCCAGCCCACUCUCAAUCCCCCUCUCUCUGUGUGAUUGCUAUUCCACACUGGAGUCACCUGCUCUGUGCUUCUGAGGAACCUCACCUCUGGCACAUCAAUGGAAAUUGUCCUUCCCUUUUUAUUUAUUUUUAUUUAUUUUUUAUUUUUUGCCACCCUCACUGGCCACUAAGAGAUAGCCCUAGCUCCUCCUCUCCUGCCUGGUUUUGACAGGACUCACUCCAUUGAGUCCUGUCUCGUCUCUUUGCAGCCCUCCUCCUCCCCCCCCCCCCCCUUCAGCCAGCACUUAGGCCCUCCCUGAUUUAGCCCGUUACCUUGACAACCACUUGGGCCUGUCUCCCUCAUCACCACUGAAAACCUGAAGGUGGUUUUCCAGCUGCGGUACAUUUGCCCAAGUUGGGCACCCCUCCAGCUUCUAUUGGCUCGCCCUCUAUACAGCUGUACCCAAUAUAACAAACACAACCUUCCUGGCCCCUCAGCUGUAGUCUCGAAAUUGAUCUCACUGGUCCCGGGAACUCCGUCAAUACUGCCUCCUCUAGACUGAGCUCCUCACAGGCAGGAACAUGGUUGUUUCUCAAUAAACAAGUUG